AGUUUGAUCAUGGCUCAGGACGAACGCUGGCGGCGUGCCUAACACAUGCAAGUCGAGCGGGCCUGUCAAGGCGUUAUGUUUUGGCAGGUUUAGCGGCGGACGGGUGAGUAACGCGUGAGCAACCUACCCUUGAGACAGGGAUAACCCUGGGAAACCGGGGCUAAUACCUGAUAUACUCUAUUAGGGCAUCCUGAUGGAGGAAAGGGCGGGAAGCCGCUCAAGGAUGGGCUCGCGUCCCAUCAGCUAGUUGGUGAGGUAACGGCUCACCAAGGCGACGACGGGUAGCCGGCCUGAGAGGGUGGUCGGCCACACUGGGACUGAGACACGGCCCAGACUCCUACGGGAGGCAGCAGUGGGGAAUCUUCCGCAAUGGGCGAAAGCCUGACGGAGCGACGCCGCGUGAGCGAAGAAGGCCUUCGGGUCGUAAAGCUCGAUAGUGUGGGAAGAAGGGAUGACGGUACCACACGAAAGCCCCGGCUAACUACGUGCCAGCCGCCGCGGUAAUUC
rnacentral:rRNA from 1 species